UAAACAGCACUAUCUGUUGUGUGUUCGUUUAAAACAAGGAAAGUCAUCUUUUAUUUCUCUUUGAAUUUUUUGUGAUGGGUUGGUUUGAUUGGACAUCAAAGCAGCUCUAAUAAAGGUUCAAUUAUGCAGAAACGGAGAAGGACAGGAAAAAUAUAAUAUUGAUUUUUUGCAGUGAUGAGGUCAGACCGGACGCUCCUCAGGUCAUGUUUUGAGCUGAAGGCCACAACCCGACGCUGUUGCAAAGGCCACAUCCAAAAGCAGCACUUCUUCAGGCAGGAAUGCAACCAACAAACAUGAUGAUAAUGUGGCAAAGAAAAUAGUUGUGCUGCCAAAGUGCUCUUUUUUUGUAAGCAGGAGUGUCAGUGUGAAAUGAAGUCCAGCUGGCUGGAUGAAGGCAGAUCAUGAAUGAAUUUGCAACAGUGCAGCAUCCUCAGCGGGAACUCUUUCCCUGUCCAGCCCUUGGAUUUCUGGGAGUUCCUUAUCAUUCCACUAGGGGCAGUGGAGGGGCUUUCCCUGCUCAUUUCAAAAUGGCUGCUUCCGUGAAAUCCAUAAUCUCAUAAACUCUUUUGGUGAGAAAAGUUUGACUAAUUUUCAUCACUUUAUGGUGAGAAUAACUCAAACGUAAUUUCAGAAUUUCUUUUUAAAUGAAUUCUUGUGUUCAAAUAAAAGUUAUUUUUCCCUGAACACUCAUGUCAAUAUUUUUAUAUCUUAAACUAACAUUGUUUUUGACAAAAACUUACCAACUCACUCAAUGUGUUAUAUUUGGUAUUAGCUCUAUCUCAUAAAAAAAAAUAAAUAAAUAAAUAAAUAAAUAAAAAAUGGUGGAUUCAAUUAAAGGAUUUGAAAAACAACAACAAAAAAAUGAACAAUCCCAGAAAAAUAUAUAUGAAUACAGCUGGAUAAAGGAUUUUUUCCAAAUUUGUUGAAAAGUAGCUAGUACAUUUUUUCAUCUUUUUUUGUAUUCUUAAAGAACUUAUCUCGCAACGCACAGAAGCAGAAGUGAAACUGCAUAAACUGGAAGCUACACUGACUGCUCAGCAGUUUGUUCAGCUUUGUACAGGUGAGUCAUCUGUAGCUCCAUAUUGCUCAAAAGCAUAAAAAGAAUAAAUUAAUAAAUAAUUAUAAUAUCUGUGAAAACACAAGUAAAAAAUAAAACUUGCAACAGAAAAAAAAAGCUUUUCAUAGGAAAAGCAACAACUAAAAAACAUUUUUGUAAAUUAUUUUGGUCUGGUCUGAUAUCUCAAAAGACUUUUAUUAAACACGUUUUAAGCUCCAGCCAAUUUCUACUGCCCCAUUUUGUCCAAGAUGACACUAUUCACUGCUGUUUCUGUAUUCCCCCCCCCCCACUAUUUUAUUUCACAUUGUUCCGGGUCUCCCUAUACAACAUCAAAUUCCUCUUUUCAACAGAAGUCCUUGCGGUACAAAAUAAAUAAUUCAUCUUCAUGACCACGCACCGUUGAAUAUUUCAUUUUAAAGCCAUGUAUAAUUAUAGUUGACUUUUGCGCCAUGCUGUCAUUUCAGCGCUCCCUCUCAGGUCAAUUUUCUUUUCUUUUUUUUUUACAGCAAAAAGUUU